AGAACGAACGCUGGCGGCAUGCCUAACACAUGCAAGUCGAACGCCUGUAGCAAUACAGGAGUGGCGCACGGGUGAGUAACGCGUGGGAACCUACCCUGGAGUGGGGGAUAACCGAGAGAAAUUUCGGCUAAUACCGCAUACGACCUGAGGGUGAAAGAUUUAUCGCUCUAGGAGGGGCCCGCGUCGGAUUAGCUAGUUGGUGGGGUAACGGCCUACCAAGGCAACGAUCCGUAGCUGGUCUGAGAGGAUGAUCAGCCACACUGGGACUGAGACACGGCCCAGACUCCUACGGGAGGCAGCAGUGGGGAAUAUUGGACAAUGGGGGCAACCCUGAUCCAGCAAUGCCGCGUGAGUGAUGAAGGCCUUAGGGUUGUAAAGCUCUUUCGGCGGGGACGAUGAUGACGGUACCCGCAGAAGAAGCCCCGGCUAACUUCGCGCCAGCAGCCGC
rnacentral:rRNA from 1 species